CUAACAAGGAUUCCCCUAGUAGCGGCGAGCGAAGAGGGAAGAGCCCAGCACCGAACCUCGCGCCCUCGGGUGUCGCGGAAUGUGGUGUUCAGGAGGACCGUGCGCGUCUGUCCGGUAUCGUCCAAGUCUCCAUGAAUGGGGCCAGCAACCCAGAGAGGGUGUCAGGCCCGUGGGACGAGCCGCGACCGUGUAUUGGGUCUCUCCUUAGAGUCGGGUUGCUUGAGAGUGCAGCCCUAAGCGGGAGGUAAACUCCUUCUAAGGCUAAAUACGGCCACGAGACCGAUAGCAAACAAGUACCGCGAGGAAAGUUGAAAAGAACUUUGAAGAGAGAGUUCAAGAGUGCGUGAAACCGUUCAGGGGGUUAAACGGGUGGGCCCUCGAAGGUCGAACGGUCCCCACUCCCGUCACCUGUAGUGCCGGCCCGUGCUGCUUUUCGAUUCCGCUACGGAACGAGGCUUGGUGCGGUUCGCCGGUCUACGGGGGCCGCUAGCUGGGGACCCAGUAGGACUCCGCAACCGGCUGGGAGGCCGUCAGAAGGGUUCUGUGAGGAAGCCCCCUCGUUGGGGUGGAUUCCGGGAUUCCGGGCGGUCCUCUCGGCCGUGAACCAAAAUUUCUCUCCUGCGGAGAGUAGAGUCGGGUCCCACCCGACCCGUCUUGAAACACGGACCAAGGAGUCUAACAUGUGCGCGAGUCGUCGGGUACUACUAAACCCGAAGGCGUAAUGAAAGUGAAAGGCGCCCUUGUUGGCGGCCGAGGGGAGAUCCCGUUCUGCUCCGGUAGCUCGGGCGCAUCCCCGGGCGUCGAAGCCGCGUUGCCGGCUAGACGAACCAAGAGCGUACACGUUGGGACCCGAAAGAUGGUGACCUAUGCCUGGCCAGGACGAAGCCAGGGGAAACCCUGGUGGAGGUCCGCAGCGAUUCUGACGUGCAAAUCGAUCGUCUGAGUUGGGUAUA
rnacentral:rRNA from 1 species